CCAUUAGAUGUUCUGGGCCGCACGCGCGCUACACUGAUGCAUUCAACGAGUCUAAAACCUGCUCUGAUAGGGGUGGGUAAUCUUUUGAAUGUGCAUCGUGAUUGGGAUAGAUGAUUGCAAUUUUUCAUCUUCAACGAGGAAUGCCUAGUAAACGCAAGUCAUCAGCUUGCAUUGAUUACGUCCCUGCCCUUUGUACACACCGCCCGUCGCUCCUACCGAUUGAAUGAUCCGAUGAAUAUCAUGGAUUGAGGAUGCAAGUAGGUUCACCUAUCUUCAUCUUCGAGAAGUGAAGUAAAUCUUAUCAUUUAGAGGAAGGAGAAGUCGUAACA
rnacentral:rRNA from 1 species